rnacentral:rRNA from 1 species
CGUGUAGGCGGCUUUGUAUGUCUUCUGUGAAAGCCCUCGGCUCAACCGAGGAAUUGCAGGGGAAACUGCGGAGCUCGAGUCCGGGAGAGGAAAGCGGAAUUCCCAGUGUAGCGGUGAAAUGCGUAGAUAUUGGGAGGAACACCUGUGGCGAAGGCGGCUUUCUGGACCGGUACUGACGCUGAUACGCGAAAGCUAGGGGAGCAAACAGGAUUAGAUACCCUGGUAGUCC